rnacentral:rRNA from 1 species
CUACGGGACGCACCAGUGGGGAAUAUUGCACAAUGGAGGAAACUCUGAUGCAGCAACGCCGCGUGGAGGAUGACACUUUUCGGAGCGUAAACUCCUUUUAUAUAGGAAGAAGAUGACGGUACUAUAUGAAUAAGCGCCGGCUAACUCCGUGCCAGCAGCCGCGGUAAUACGGAGAGCGCAAGCGUUACUCGGAAUCACUGGGCGUAAAGAGCGUGUAGGCGGAUUAAAAAGUCAGAAGUGAAAUCCUAUAGCUUAACUAUAGAACUGCUUCUGAAACCCUUAAUCUAGAAUAUGGGAGAGGUAGAUGGAAUUUCUGGUGUAGGGGUAAAAUCCGUAGAGAUCAGAAGGAAUACCGAUUGCGAAGGCGAUCUACUAGAACAUUAUUGACGCUGAGACGCGAAAGCGUGGGGAGCAAACAGGAUUAGAUACCCGUGUAGUC